rnacentral:misc_RNA from 1 species
GAUGAAGAACGUAGCGAAAUGCGAUAAGUAAUGUGAAUUGCAGAAUUCAGUGAAUCAUCGAAUCUUUGAACGCACCUUGCACCCUUUGGUAUUCCGAAGGGUAUGCUCGUUUGAGUGUCAUUGUACUCUCACACUUCCGAUCGUUUGGAUCGGGAGCGGUGGACUUGGGUGUUGCUGCUUUACUGUGGCUCACCUUAAAUGCAUUAGUGCACCUUUCGGUUGGACAUAGUACGGCGUGAUAAGUGUCUUCGCCGGCACCUCACAGAGGGUGGCUGAUCGGGAGCUCUGUGCUUCAAACCGUCCUCGGACAACAGCCGACAACUUGACCUCAAAUCGAGUAGGACUACCCGCUGAACUUAAGCAUAUCAAUAAGCGGAGGA